CCCACUGCUUAUUGAAAUAUGCCUGCAAAAUUUUCUUUCCCAGGCACAAGAAGUUAAGGACAGUUUCUGACCUCAAAUCAGAUUUUACCAUUUUAGGGAUGUAACCUUGAAUGGAUGGUGGUGUUUUAAUUUCUUCCGCUGUAAGUUACCUAUUUUGUUGGCUUUUUGAACAUCAAUGGGUAUAUGUGUCUGAUACUCGUAAUGCUUAGUAGUAUCAGGUAUGAGAAGGACAACAGUUACAGAAGACGCUACUAUAAUCCAUUCAUAGGAAAUACAGAGGGCUGCCAAAUGCAAAGUGAGAGUAUCAACUUUGUUCUAGCCUGUCUGUAGCCUAGAAGGCCUUAAUAUAAAUGUCGGAGGGAAGUUCUCUCAAUAAUUCAGGAUGGUGCUCCAACAGGCCACAAGGGGAGAAAUGGCAGGAGUUAAAGCUGAAAGCAUGCUGAGGGCCAGGUGUGAAUGACAUCAAGACAUUUAAGGACUUUGCUUUAAGAACAAUGGUAACUCACUAAUACAGCAAACCACAUAUGUUGCAUUUUUGAAAUUUCAGUUUGGCUGUCAGGUAGAAAACAUGAAAUUUAAGUAGAUAAAAAGCAUGUGGACCAUUAGAAGGUUUUGAUGUUUAAAACGUCAUCAAUUAGGUAAGUGCUUGUGAGGAUGAAAGUGAGGAGUGACACAUGGACGGGUCUUCUGAGGAGGACGGUGAUAUUUAAAUGUUUUCCAAAGCUGAAGAGGAGGAAUUCAUGACGCCUCUCUUGGUUUCUAUUUUCCAGUUGGUGUUCUUUAUAUAAAGUGGGGACAUUUGCUGUUUAAUGAGGAACAACUUCAGAAGAUGCAGAGUGAGUUUUGAUGGGAAAGAGACUCUUCAUGGGCUACUCUAGAACAAACAAUGGAAACGGAUCACAGGAAAGAAUGAAGGACAUGGUUCAUGUCUGAUUCAGGUGAUUUCUACAAACAGUUCCAGGAGCUUUCUCCAUUCUCCCAGUUGAGAUUGGCAUUAUGCUUAGAGAAGAAAAAGCGUCUCAAAAGAAAACUAGUCACUCUUGAGGUAGAAUUGCCUCACCUGAAGAGGGAGGAGGUAUUUUUCCUUUUCUCUGAGUCAAGAACUCAUGAUCACCAUCACCCAACCCUGCUCACACACACCCUGACCACCACGGGUCUCUAGGCACUUUAAAUUCUAUGAUUUAUAUGAACUCUUACAGGGACGCAGCUGUUCUCCUGGGCAUAUUCACAACACGUUUUUCCACCCACUCACCUCCCAAGGUGGGUUCUUAAGCAAGUAGCAAAAUGAGGUGUGGGCACUGACACAAAGACCAAUGAGGCAUUUUAAGAGAAGUUAAAUUCAGGAAGCUUUAGGGAAACAAACAAAAAUAAAUUUUAAGAAAUCUGUUUGCAUGGAAAGAUAAAACAAUAAUAGAAUGAGAGAGAGAGAGAGAGAGAGA
rnacentral:lncRNA from 1 species